rnacentral:rRNA from 1 species
GAUGAACGCUAGCGAUAGGCUUAACACAUGCAAGUCGAGGGGCAGCAUGGUCUUAGCUUGCUAAGACUGAUGGCGACCGGCGCACGGGUGCGUAACGCGUAUGCAACUUGCCUCACAGAGGGGGAUAACCCGUCGAAAGACGGACUAAUACCGCGUACACUUGGGAUAGGGCAUCCUGACCCAAGGAAAUGAAAUUCGCUGUGAGAUAGGCAUGCGUCCCAUUAGCUAGUUGGUGAGGUAACGGCUCACCAAGGCGACGAUGGGUAGGGGAACUGAGAGGUUGAAUCCCCACACUGGUACUGAGACACGGACCAGACUCGUACGGGAGGCAGCAGUGAGGAAUAUUGGUCAAUGGGCGAGAGCCUGAACCAGCCAAGUCGCGUGAAGGAUGACUGUCUUAUGGAUUGUAAACUUCUUUUAUACGGGAAUAACAAGAGCCACGUGUGGCUCCCUGCAUGUACCGUAUGAAUAAGCAUCGGCUAACUCCGUG